GACGAACGCUGGCGGCGUGCCUAAUACAUGCAAGUAGAACGCUGAAGAGAGGAGCUUGCUCUUCUUGGAUGAGUUGCGAACGGGUGAGUAACGCGUAGGUAACCUGCCUUGUAGCGGGGGAUAACUAUUGGAAACGAUAGCUAAUACCGCAUAACAAUGGAUGACACAUGUCAUUUAUUUGAAAGGGGCAAUUGCUCCACUACAAGAUGGACCUGCGUUGUAUUAGCUAGUAGGUGAGGUAACGGCUCACCUAGGCGACGAUACAUAGCCGACCUGAGAGGGUGAUCGGCCACACUGGGACUGAGACACGGCCCCGACUCCUACGGGAGGCAGCAGUAGGGAAUCUUCGGCAAUGGGGGCAACCCUGACCGAGCAACGCCGCGUGAGUGAAGAAGGUUUUCGGAUCGUAAAGCUCUGUUGUAAGUCAAGAACGAGUGUGAGAGUGGAAAGUUCACACUGUGACGGUAGCUUACCAGAAAGGGACGGCUAACUACGUG
rnacentral:rRNA from 1 species